UCGUGGCCACGGGGGAAGCGGCCCGGGGAGGCCCCGGCUGUGCUCUGGGAGGGGGCCUGAGAGCGCCCGGGGAGGAUCUGGGGGUGAUGGUAGAGCCGUUUGGUUGCCCAGACCCUGCUGGUGUCUCUGACCCUGGGCAUGGGUCACCUCCCGCAGAGUUCAGGGGCCGGGUCCCCGGAGAUCCCCUGACCUGGGGUCCUGCUGUUGGCCAGUCAGGGUCCCGAGCCCUCACUGUGUGACCCCGACCACCUCCUGGAAAGAGAAUUAGGGCAAAAACAGGUAACAUCCAUCAGGCCUCCAGACCUCAGCGGAGGUUCUGGAGAUGAGAUUGUUCUUGGGAAAUCAGAGAAUUGGGUCCUGGUUUAGGCGCCCAGUAGGUGCUCAUGCUCUUGAUGCGGGGGCGGGGGGCCCUGGGCCCCCACCUGGGAGGAACGCUGCUGUCAGCUGGAUUCCUGUGUUUGCCCAGAUUGAGGAGAAAUCUGCAUAAUGUAGAAUGAACCUUUUUUUUUUUUUAAGAUUUUAUUUAUUUAUUCAUGAGAGACCGAGAGCGAGAGGCAGAGACACAGGCAGAGGGAGAAGCAGCCUCCCUGUAGGGAGCCCAAUGCAGGACUCGAUCCCAGGACCCUGGGGUCACACCCUGGGUCGAAGGCAGACGCUCAACUGCUGAGCCACCAGGGAUCCCAGAAUUAACCAUUUUAAGUGAACAAUUCAGUGGCAUUUGUUACAUUGAGUGUAUUGUGCAACCAUGCCUUCUAUUUAGUUCUGGAACAUUCCAUCGCCCCCUCCCUGUGCGUGGACAAGCCCAUCCUGCACGUGUCACACACGUGGACUCACACCCGUGGGGCCUCCUGUGUCUGGUUCCCUCCCUGAGUGUCGUGGGCCGGGGUCCGUCCCUGGGGUGGUGCAUGGGGGCCUCGCCCCCGUUGGCGGCCCAGGGACUCUCCCGCGUGUGGGGGAGACGUCGUGUGCAUCCGUCCAGCUGCGGGUGAGCGCCGGGUGUUUGCACCCUCUGGACGGUGGCAGCGCCGUGCCGACCCAGGAGCGGCUGUUUUGUGUCCUGCAGCUCUGCUGUCUUCCCACCGACGAGGGGCUCCCUCCUGCGGACGCAGCGCAGCCUGGGUCAGGCCCGGGCCCUCCUGCGGGGACCGUCAGGGCGUCCCCCGCACACGUCAGACCGCACGGGUGUGCAGCAGCAACGGUGAGCCCUGGUCACCUGCAGGCUGUGAUUGGUAACGUCUGGAUGUCGGUCUCAGUUGUCCCGAAGGCAGCAGGCCAGGUCGGACGGAGACCCGGGGAGGGAACGGGGAGGGGGGGAGCUCUCUGCAGCUCCCGCUCU
rnacentral:lncRNA from 1 species